rnacentral:rRNA from 1 species
GGGGAGCUUGCUCCUCCGGAUUAGUGGCGAACGGGUGAGUAAUACGUGAGCAAUGUGCCCUUGACUCUGGGAUAAGCGCUGGAAACGGCGUCUAAUACCGGAUACGACCAUCGGAGGCAUCUCCUGGUGGUGGAAAGAACUUCGGUCAAGGAUCAGCUCACGGCCUAUCAGCUUGUUGGUGAGGUAACGGCUCACCAAGGCGACGACGGGUAGCCGGCCUGAGAGGGUGACCGGCCACACUGGGACUGAGACACGGCCCAGACUCCUACGGGAGGCAGCAGUGGGGAAUAUUGCACAAUGGGCGCAAGCCUGAUGCAGCAACGCCGCGUGAGGGACGAAGGCCUUCGGGUUGUAAACCUCUUUUAGCAGGGAAGAAGCGAGAGUGACGGUACCUGCAGAAAAAGCACCGGCUAACUACGUGCCAGCAGCCGCGGUAAUACGUAGGGUGCAAGCGUUGUCCGGAAUUAUUGGGCGUAAAGAGCUCGUAGGCGGUCUGUCGCGUCUGCUGUGAAAACCCGAGGCUCAACCUCGGGCUUGCAGUGGGUACGGGCAGACUAGAGUGCGGUAGGGGAGAUUGGAAUUCCUGGUGUAGCGGUGGAAUGCGCAGAUAUCAGGAGGAACACCGAUGGCGAAGGCAGAUCUCUGGGCCGUAACUGACGCUGAGGAGCGAAAGCAUGGGGAGCAAACAGGCUUAGAUACCCUGGUAGUCCAUGCCGUAAACGUUGGGAACUAGAUGUGGGGACCAUUCCAC